UGCUGUUUUCUUCUGUAAAGGUUUGAAUUGGAUGAUGGUAGAAUGGUAUCAGUUGAGCAGUACUUUGCCCGUGAGAAGAAGAUAAGGCUUAUGUAUCCACGCCUUCCAUGUCUUCAUGUUGGCUCCUUGAAUAGGCCCAAACCCAUCUAUCUUCCGGCAGAAUUGUGCCAUGUGACAAGGGGUCAAGUAAUAAACAAGAAAAUGACUGAACUACAGACAUCUAACAUGAUAAAGCAUGCUGCAACAA